rnacentral:rRNA from 1 species
AGCGAACGCUGGCGGCAGGCUUAACACAUGCAAGUCGAGCGGGCAUCCUUGUGGUGUCAGCGGCAGACGGGUGAGUAACGCGUGGGAACGUGCCCUUCGGUUCGGAAUAACUCAGGGAAACUUGAGCUAAUACCGGAUACGUGCGAGAGCAGAAAGGUUUAUCUGCCGAAGGAUCGGCCCGCGUCUGAUUAGCUAGUUGGUGAGGUUAUGGCUCACCAAGGCGACGAUCAGUAGCUGGUCUGAGAGGAUGAUCAGCCACACUGGGACUGAGACACGGCCCAGACUCCUACGGGAGGCAGCAGUGGGGAAUAUUGCACAAUGGGGGCAACCCUGAUCCAGCCAUGCCGCGUGAGUGAUGACGGCCUUAGGGUUGUAAAGCUCUUUUCUCCGGGACGAUAAUGACGGUACCGGAGGAAUAAGCCCCGGCUAACUUCGUG